ACCGCCAUGGAUGGCGGGGUAGCUAAGCAGUAGCGAUGUUUUUGCGUGAGCAAAAACUCGCGUCCAGCAGUGUACACGGAUGUACACUGCCGGACAGGC
rnacentral:sRNA from 1 species